GCUGGCGGCGUGCCUAGACAUGCAAGUCGAACGCGAAAGUUCCCUUCGGGGAGCGAGUAGAGUGGCGCACGGGUGAGUAACACGUAGGUAAUCUACCUUUGGAUGGGGAAUAACAACCGGAAACGGUUGCUAAUACCGCAUAAUGCAGCGGCACCUAAUGGUGACAGUUGUUAAAGCGGGGGAUCGUAAGACCUCGCGUCUGAAGAGGAGCCUGCGGCGGAUUAGCUAGUUGGUAAGGUAACGGCUUACCAAGGCGAUGAUCCGUAGCCGGCCUGAGAGGGCGGUCGGCCACACUGACACUGACAUACGGGUCAGACUCCUACGGGAGGCAGCAGUCGGGAAUUUUGGGCAAUGGGCGAAAGCCUGACCCAGCAACGCCGCGUGAAGGAUGAAAUCCUUCGGGAUGUAAACUUCGCAAGAACGGGAAGAAUAAACCGGUGUUAACACCACCGGCGAUGACGGUACUGUUUGUAAGCUCCGGCUAACUCCGUGCCAGCAGCCGCGGUAAUACGGGGGGAGCAAGCGUUGUUCGGAUUUACUGGGCGUAAAGGGCGCGUAGGCGGCCACUGCAAGUCGGUUGUGAAAUCUCCGGGCUUAACCCGGAAAGGUCA
rnacentral:rRNA from 1 species